rnacentral:rRNA from 1 species
GUCUUAUUGAAUAUAAUUUUAAGUCGAUCUGCCCAAUGAAAUAAUUUUUGAAUGGCUGCAGUAUAACUGACUGUACAAAGGUAGCAUAAUAGAUUGGUUUUUAAAUGAAAUCUGGAAUGAAAGGAUUAAUGAAAUAUGAACUGUCUCAUUUAUAUUUUAUGAAAUUAAAAUUUUAAUAAAAAUGUUAAAAUUUUUUUAUGGGACGAAAAGACCCUAUAGAAUUUUAUAUUGAUAAUACUUAGUAGUUAAUAUUGAAUCAUUAUCGAUAUUUAGUUGGGAGGACUAUUAGAUUUAACAAACUCUUUAUUUAUGUAAACUUUGAUUUAAGAAAAUAUAGUGACCUUCAAUUUGAAAUCAGUAGAAUAAAUUACCUUAGGGAUAACAGCGUAAUACUUUUUUAUAGACCUUAUAGAAAAAAGUGGUUGCGACCUCGAUGUUGAAUUAAGAUAAAUUUUAAAUGCAGGAGUUUAAUAAUUAAGUCUGUUCGACUUUUAAAAUCUUACAUGAUUUGAGUUCAAAUCGACGUAAGU